GUGAAGUGGUAGUGAAACAACAAACCAUGAUAGAGCUGAUUCCUGAGUUUGUAGAAUAAGAUGAAAGAUUAAACAUCAGAUAAAAGUUCCACAGGGUUCAGGAGACUUCGGGAAUCUUACAACCAUGACUGAAGGGGAGGCAAACAAGUCCUUCACAUGGCAGCAACAAAGAGAAGUGCCAAGCAAAAGGCGGAAAAGCACCUUGUGAAAUCAUCGGAUCUCUUGAGAACCUACUUACUUACUCUCAAGAGAGCAGCAUCACGGUCCAACACCACAUGGAAGUUACCAAGACUUGGUGCUUGCACCAUCUGAAGCCAUGGCCUGAGCUGUACAUUUGCCCCCAUUAGUGAUGGCUGGAGCAGCUGGAAUGCAGAGCAGCAAGUUCCAAGGCUGCACACAGCAGCAGGGACCUGGACCCAGCCCAGAUGGCUGACUAGAAGCAUUUCAAGCAUUCCUCCUCCACUUGGCAGAACCAAAACAGUAUGUGGACAAUCACACUUUGAAUACAUUACUCAGGAAGGAACACAGGAGUUCAACAGAAAGUUGAAGGGAAGUCUUCAAAUCUGGGAGGAAAAAAGAAAAUGGGCAGCCUGAGUGGCCAAGAUCAGCCAAGACCUGGGUGCAAAUCCUCAAUAUGG